ACGCAACCCUUCGGGGUUGAGUGGCGGACGGGUGAGUAACGCGUGAGAAUCUGCCUUCAGGUUCGGGACAACCACUGGAAACGGUGGCUAAUACCGGAUGUGCCGCAACGUGAAAGAUUUAUCGCCUGAAGAUGAGCUCGCGUCUGAUUAGCUAGUUGGUGAGGUAAAGGCUCACCAAGGCGACGAUCAGUAGCUGGUCUGAGAGGAUGACCAGCCACACUGGGACUGAGACACGGCCCAGACUCCUACGGGAGGCAGCAGUGGGGAAUUUUCCGCAAUGGGCGAAAGCCUGACGGAGCAAGACCGUGUGAGGGAGGAAGGCCCUUGGGUUGUAAACCUCUUUUGUCAGGGAAGAACACAAUGACGGUACCUGACGAAUCAGCCUCGGCUAACUCCGUGCCAGCAGCCGCGGUAAUACGGAGGAGGCAAGCGUUAUCCGGAAUUAUUGGGCGUAAAGCGUCCGCAGGUGGCUAUUCAAGUCUGCUGUCAAAGACCGGGGCUUAACCCUGGAAAGGCGGUGGAAACUGAAUGGCUAGAGAGAGGUAGGGGUAGAGGGAAUUCCCAGUGUAGCGGUGAAAUGCGUAGAGAUUGGGAAGAACACCGGUGGCGAAAGCGCUCUGCUGGACCUCAUCUGACACUAGAGGACGAAAGCUAGGGGAGCGAAUGGGAUUAGAUACCCCAGUAGUCCUAGCCGUAAACGAUGGAUACUAGAUGUGGCUCGUAUCGAC
rnacentral:rRNA from 1 species